rnacentral:lncRNA from 1 species
UUGGUUUAGAGCUGGGAGAACAUUCAGAAGGGCAUCGAUGCAAUUGGAAAAUCGUGGUGCAUCAACCUUACAGGGUAGGGGGUGGUAUUGACGUAUCCAUUUUGCUUAGAAAGCCUUCUAACAAUUCCUUCACGUAAGUGAACGGAACCUGGCAGGCAGCAUUCUCGCAAGAGGUGCUGCUCGUUAAGGAAAGGCAGUUACCUGGUUGAUCCUGCCAGUAGUCAUAUGCUUGUCUCGAAGAUUAAGCCAUGCAUGUCUAAGUAUAAACUGCUAUACUGUGAAACUGCGAAUGGCCCAUUAAAUCAGUUAUAGUUUAUUUGAU